rnacentral:rRNA from 1 species
GAUGAACGCUGGCGGCGUGCCUAAUACAUGCAAGUCGAGCGAACAGACGAGGAGCUUGCUCCUUUGACGUUAGCGGCGGACGGGUGAGUAACACGUAGGUAACCUACCUAUAAGACUGGGAUAACUUCGGGAAACCGGAGCUAAUACCGGAUAAUAUUUCGAACCGCAUGGUUCGAUAGUGAAAGAUGGCUUUGCUAUCACUUAUAGAUGGACCUGCGCCGUAUUAGCUAGUUGGUAAGGUAACGGCUUACCAAGGCAACGAUACGUAGCCGACCUGAGAGGGAGAGAGGCCACAUUGGGACUGCGCAAGCGUUGAGAGUGCGGCGGGAGGCACAGGAGGGGAAGAUUAGGAAAUAGGGGCAUGACGGAAGGAUCAAAGAGGAGUGAGUAAAGAAGGGGUUGGGAUGGGAAAAAUGGUUAAUUAGCGAAGAACAAAGGUAGACGAAAAACGGGACGAAAGGACGAGAGAUAGUGAGAGAGAAACGGCUAAAGAGGGG